UACGUAGGGUGCGAGCGUUAAUCGGAAUUACUGGGCGUAAAGCGUGCGCAGGCGGUAAGUUAAGUCUGAUGUGAAAGCCCCGGGCUCAACCUGGGAAUGGCAUUGGAAACUGGCUUGCUAGAGUGUGGCAGAGGGGGGUGGAAUGCCGCGUGUAGCAGUGAAAUGCGUAGAGAUGCGGCGGAACACCGAUGGCGAAGGCAGCCCCCUGGGCUGAGAUUGACGCUCAGGCACGAAAGCGUGGGGAGCAAACAGG
rnacentral:rRNA from 1 species